rnacentral:lncRNA from 1 species
CAUCCUAAAAUAAUCCUUGUACGAAAGAGACAUAUUUUGGGGUGGCAAAUUCUGUUCCCCUUUAAGAGAAAGUUCUGCUUUUAAGAAUUCCAACUAGUAAAUUAUGAGUAAUGACAGAAUAUUUUCUGUUUGAAAUCUUUGAUGAAAUAAAGAAUCCAUCAAUGGCUACUGAAAACACUAGAUGGAAAAAUUUAUGAUAGUUGAAUCAAGCUGAAGAUACCUGAACACACUAAGUUUAUCAACACAGAAGGAGAGCAAACAGGCUUUAUUUGUCUGUUGAUAUGAUGAAAUGGAAGAUAUAUACACAAGAUUCCCUAUUACACAUUCAUGCUAGAUAAACAAGAUUAUAGAAAAGAUAUAAGACAGAAAUCCAUUAAAAGAUACCACAGUGAUGCAUUCAGUAAAUUCCAGAAUGUAUGAAACUUGACAGAUCAUAGGACUUGAUUUCUUAGGAUAUUAAAUUGUAAAAAUAAAGAGAGGAGGAAUUUAUAGAUAAAGAGCUUCUUAAAGACAUUUCAUACGUACAUAAUGUUUUAAAGUUAUCUGGAACACUAUUCUCACAAACUAACUGCAAACAUAUUGUUUAAUCAGAAUCAGAGAAAUUUCUACACUGAAUAUAUGAUGAAAUUAAGUAAUUAUUGCUAAUUUUUAAAAAUGUGACAAUGUUGUUGCAGUUAUGAAAAACAAAGAGUCCUCUUUUAGAAAAAUACACUGAAGUAUUUACUGAUGAAAUAAUGUAGUAUCCAGGAGUGGCUUUGAGAUAUCAAAUCUGAAUGGUGGGGGGAGAUCUAUAUGUCACAGAAUUGACAAUUUGCUGUUAACUGGUGAAACCAAAGGUGGAUAUGUGGGGACUAGUUCUACUUCUCUCUCUACUUAUCUUUGAAACUUACUACGAUGAAAAGCAAGGAUUGUAUUUAAACUUAGAUUAUUGUAUACAAAAGAUUCAUGCACACCGGGAAUGCAUGAAAUGCAGAAACUUUUAAUUAAUAGAAACUAAAAUAAAAACAGAAAAUUGUGAUAAUAUAAAAAUUCUUUUGGUUGCUUUGGUUGCAAGUGGAGUCUACUUAUACUUAAUGGGCAAUGCCAGGAACCAUGUGGAAAGACAUGAAAAGUCUUAAUAAUCAAAAUAAUUAGAUGAUUGUUGACUUUAAACAUUACUGUUUAGAUGGAUAGGAAAGAACACUUUUCUGUAAAAAACAAUAGCAGUAAAGGGUUGAAAAAUGCAUUAACACUGCUUUUUAAAAAAAUGAGUAAAAGCCGUUGAAGUUAGUAUUAUCUGAAAGUGAUCUUUCCAGAGAAAAUGAAUUACUAUGUUUUUAACAAAAUAUAGAGAAUUUUCAAUCAUGGAGGAGGAUACUGCUAGUUCCCUAUCACUUCUCUCUUUAAAAAAAAAAAAAAAAAGAUUUUAUUUAUUUAUUCAUGAAAGACACAGAGGCAUAAGCAGAGGGAGAAGCAGUUCCCUCUGACGUGGGGCUCAAUCCCAGGAGUCCUGGAUCAUGACCUGAGCCGAAGGCAGACACUCAACACUGAGCUACCCAGGUGCCCUCUAUCAUCUCUCUUAUAAGAUGCAGUGUAGAAGAAAUAAUGGAGCAUGAGCUUUGAAACCUAGCGUAAGCACUGGAGAUUUUACAUCGUGAAAUCUCAAUGUUUUAAAGGAAGAAAGGAGAAAUCAGUUCCAGAUACCAAUUUUACAGAUAUUCAACCCGAGUUCUAAGAUCCUGAAGUAGUUCGCUUAAUGUUAUGCACAUAGUUAAUAAUAGUUAAGUUAAUUUUUGCACAGUAAUAGGGUCAUAUAUAAAAAAGUCUUCAUUCCUAUUUUUUUUUAAUUUUUUAUUUAUUUAUGAUAGGCACACAGUGAGAGAGAGAGAGAGAGGCAGAGACACAGACAGAGGGAGAAGCAGGCUCCAUGCACCGGGAGCCCGAUGUGGGAUUUGAUCCCGGGUCUCCAGGAUCGCGCCCUGGGCCAAAGGCAGGCACCAAACCGCUGCGCCACCCAGGGAUCCCCUUCAUUCCUAUUUUGCUACUAAAAAUUCCAUUGUGAAGAUUACAAGGUGAUAGCCAUACAAAUUUAAUAUCAUGAAUAUACGAGAAAGAUGGUGAGCACAAAGUAAAUUCAAAAGUAUCAAAGGAAAUCACUAUUGUUUUCUGUGGGAAAAAGUGGAAAUUAAUCAAGAUUUAAUUAAAGCAAACAGCCUUCUGGAGGGAAUAACAAGGACAGAAGUUUGUUUAUGGGAAUGUCAGAUGCAAAGAGACAUUAUAGGACCUUUCAUGAAGGAGCAAAGCAUAGCAAAUCAUCUUUCUGUGGAAGAGACAAAAAGAGACGAAGAUGGUAGCUAGCAAUGUUUUUGAGAGGAGAAAGAGAAGUGAAUGGAACAGUUUAAAGUUUGUUCUUCUUCCAUCAUCCUUAAACAAUUAACAGCGCCCUGCAUCAGAAGCAACUGGAACCAUCAGGAUGCUGCCCUUUGUUUAGGAGGGCAGUGCUGCUGUGUGAUCUACCAGCCAUUCUCUAUAACGCAGACCCUUUCACUUGGAGCUGUCCUUCAGCAGGGGCAUUGGGUUGCAUCAUCUCCCAUCAUAGUCUCAGCUGUAUGCAAUAGGAGACGUUUGCAAGAUAGACAGCUUGGGCUUAACAGUGAAGUCAUUGGGUGGGUAAAAAUUGAAGCUGAACAAUGCUCCUGAGGGUCACAUACAAAUCUAAAGGGCACAAUAAACACUGUGUUCUCCCAGUUUAGACUCCAGCCAGCCUUCAGGAUCCACUCUACUCCUUUCACAGGAUUUAAUUAACUGCUCCCCUGGUGGGAUUUCAGUCUCAAAUUAAUCCAUCUUUUAAAACACUUAUCUAGCUUCUUCCUUUCUCUUUAUAUAUGCUUUUAGAGUACCCAUUCCUAUAAAAUAUAUGAUUAAUUCACCUCAAUAGCUAGACACCACUAUAUUUAGUGC